UACGGAGGGUGCGAGCGUUGUCCGGAAUCACUGGGCGUAAAGGGCGCGUAGGCGGCAUGCCAAGCGUGUGGUGAAAGCCCGGGGCUCAACCCCGGGUCGGCCGUGCGGACUGGCGUGCUUGAGCACUGGUAGGGGCGGGUGGAAUUCCGGGUGUAGCGGUGGAAUGCGUAGAGAUCCGGAAGAACACCGGUGGCGAAGGCGGGUCUCUGGGCAGUAACUGACGCUGAGGCACGGAAGGCCAGGGGAGC
rnacentral:rRNA from 1 species